UUGUAUAAUAAUACUCUGCCGUUUUGCACCCCUGGUUAGCGCUACAACUCCUCCGCCGCGCCUAUCCACCACAUCUAUUUCGCCCUAUCCACCAGGACUUACGAUGAUCUGUAUAGCGAGCUAUCGAGGCUGCUCAGGGACUCGAGCAGGCCUGCAUAUACGAUCCCCCAGUCCCCCACACGUGAUGCAAAGAUAAUACAUCCAUGUCGUCGGCGCCGGGGAAGAAGACAAGGUAACUCUGAACAUCGAUGGCCUUAUAUAUUAUCGGCUUCAGUAACGGCACUGGCCAUUGGUACAAGUUUAGUGGCGGAGACUCGUUCUGGUUCAAAGGUCUGCCGGUGCCGGGAGCCACCGAGCUCCCCGGUCACAAUGAACUAUGGACAACUGAUCCAGGGAGGGCACGCCGAUCGAGCUUUGGCGGGUUCCUCUGGGGAAGAAGUCAGCCAUACAUGCCACCAGGCAGCUUGCGACGUACGACCCCGCCGUCACCCCUGAAUCCCAGCUCCAGGACGAAAAUGGGGUGCUACUGGAGGUCAGUACCGGUGGAUGGCUGACGCGAAGUCGAGGAUAAUAUAGUCAGGUCAAAGGUGCCAACGAUGCUUCGGCGAUCGUUGGUUUUCUGCUUCGCUCAAAAGAAACAGUACCUACUGAUAAUUAGUUAGUUUCCACACAUAUGAUUAAUAUAGUUUUCUUUCUUUUUUGCAUCAUCGAUGCCUGAAUCGACUUGUUAUGCAAAAAAAAAAAAAUGUAAUCAGGGGGUAUCCAAAUCCAAACAAAAGAAGAAGAAAGAAACAUAUAGUGUGUAGGUGCUUUCAGCUUCAAGUCCAGUAUAUGUCGUUAACUCUGAAGAUCUUCAGAUUUAGACUGAAAGAGAGAUAUAGAGACAGUGUCAGAGGCACCCUGCUGAGUAGUCAUCUCAGUAUGCUACUGCUAGCGCUACCUUGUAUCAGACGUAGUCGUGGUAGGCAGAGGCAGAGGCAGAGGCAGUCAUCUCUCGUAAUAUAUCUGACAGUUUUUUCAAAAGAAAAUCGUUAGACAAA